UAUCUCUGUAGAGUCUGCAUAUCAAUAAGCGGAGGAAAAGAAACUAACAAGGAUUCCCUUAGUAACGGCGAGUGAAGCGGGAAGAGCUCAAAUUUGAAAUCUUCAAGGUUCUACCUUGACGAAUUGUAGUUUAAAGAAGUGUUUUCUGUUAGAUGAGUAGCAAAAGUUCCUUGGAAUGGGACAUCAUAGAGGGUGAGAAUCCCGUAUUUGGUUAUUCAUUCUAGCUUUGUGAUACACUUUCAAAGAGUCGGAUUGUUUGGGAAUGCAGUCCAAAAUGGGUGGUAAAUUUCAUCUAAAGCUAAAUAUUGGCGAGAGACCGAUAGCGAACAAGUACCGUGAGGGAAAGAUGAAAAGAACUUUGAAAAGAGAGUUAAACAGUACGUGAAAUUGUCAAAAGGGAAGCGUUUGACACCAGUGUUGUUUUUUCCGAAAAUCAAUUACGAAUGGCUUGAUUUUGUGUUGUAUUGACCUUAUCAGCUUUCUUCACUUUUUUUCGAGUCCUUUCUUAAUGCACUUUUCGGUUAACAAGUCAACAUCAAUUUCUUUUGUUGUAAAAGAGUAUUCGGAAGGUGGACUUUCUUUUCGGAGAAAGUGUUUAUAGCCCUAUACUUACUACAAUCGGAGAGAUUGAGGUCUGCAGCGUAGAUCCUUCGGGGUUAGAUACACUUUGUGCUAAGUUGUAGCUUUUCAUAGACAACUUGUUGACUAUGUUUAGUCAUGCGGCUUACUCGCUUAUGCUAUUUUACCUACGCUUAGGAUGUUGACUGAUAUGUAGUCGU
rnacentral:rRNA from 1 species